rnacentral:lncRNA from 1 species
GGUGUCUGCUCAACCCUGGUAUCACAGAGCUGUGGCCAUCUAUGUGUGUAACAUGGUGAUGGUUGGCAGAAGGAUCCCCAAGAGGAACAGACAAAUUAAGAUUCCCAUGAUUAACAGACACACAGUCAUCACCAGUUGAGACAUGGGCAGCUACAGAUUUCCUUCCCUUGGUGUAAUUGAUGUUUUGAGGAAACCCAUGGAUCUUG